CCCUCUUUUUCGCGCUUUCCUCGGAAUUACUGGGCGUAAAGCGCGCGUAGGCGGCUUUUCAAGUCGAUUGUGAAAUCCCCGGGCUUAACCUGGGAACUGCAGUCGAGACUGUCUAGCUAGAGUAUGGGAGAGGGAAGUGGAAUUUCAGGUGUAGCGGUGAAAUGCGUAGAUAUCUGAAGGAACAUCAGUGGCGAAAGCGACUUCCUGGACCAAUACUGACGCUCAUGUGCGAAAGCGUGGGGAGCAAACAGGA
rnacentral:rRNA from 1 species